rnacentral:tRNA from 1 species
UUUUAUCUAGUUUAAUAAUAAAUACCUCCUUGUCAAGGAGUAGAUAUAGCUUCUGGUUGUGAUGUAAA